GAUCAGAAGAACAAUCAAGAUUACAAGAAUCUUUAUUAGAGCAUACAGAAGUGGAAGAAGAACAAUUAACAGAAGAAGAUGAAGAGGGCACCCAAGAAAAUUUGUACAGACUAGCCUCCUCUUUACCAAGAUCCAGAGGCAUCUUCAGAGAAGGGGCCUGUUACAUGUGACAAAAACAAGAAGUUGCAGUAAAUAGAACAAUACAGUGCAACUGUUUCACUAACUUGUGGACAGAAAUAAAAUUAUGUUUGAAAGAGGGAACAAAAAGUACAUUAUGAAGAGUAAUGGAAGGAGUUAAAGCAAAAGAGCUAGUUGAAGUUACUUUUACUUUAUAUCCAUUAGGAAGGGUAACAAGAUAAGGUACAAGUAAAUGGGUGAUAUUGGAGAGUAAUUGUAUAUUAGAUGUCAUGUGGUCAGAAGCUCCAAAAUCUAUUAUCCAGGAAACAGAAGCAAUAUGAGUAAGCAAGCAGAGUUUGGAAUUAGAAACAGGACUCUCAGUAAGCAUAGUACCAGCAAAAUUGGCAGCACAUAUAGUAGGGGAUGGCUGAGCAGGAGAAGUCUGAGCAGUGGAUUCACCCAAAUUGUACUGUUGGAGCAGAUUCAUCAACUGAUCAUAAUGGUGUCUGCUCAACCCAGAAAUAGCAGAACUAUGUCCAUCCACAUGCUGGACAGGUGAAUAACUCUCAGUAUGAAUUCCAGAAGCAAGAGAAUUAUGGCCAGCAGAAGAAGGAGAGGAUGUGAAGUCAACACCAGUGGUGACAUGAGCAGCAGUGGGUCUCUUGCCUUUGUUAAACCUGAUGCUUUGAAGAAAACCAUGAAGUUUGUAGCACUUAUCAAUUAAGUGCCCAGACUUCUUGCAAUAUCAACAGAAGAGGGGUCCUCUGGACUUAUCAAAAGUAACUCUCUGUGCAUACUGUCUGGGAGGAGGAGAGUUGAGCAAGAGAGAUGGACUGAAGGAAGGUGUGGAAGGUUUAUGUGUAUUAACAUUGAAGGAAAUAGAAUCAGGAUUGAACUGGGAGACAGACUAAACUUGUCUCUGUUUUUCAUCAUUGAGGAGAAUGUUAUAGAGACUGUCAAGACUAGGAGGAGGUUGCAUCAUUAACAAAUUUCUCCUCACCCCCAUAUAUGUCUCAUUAAGACCCAUGAGAAAUUGAAAUACCUUAUUCUCCUCAUCCUCCUUUAUAAUGCCAGGUUUGGCAGCACAGAUACAUCUCUGUCCAUUGUGCCCAUAUACUCUGUGCAGUCUCAGAGUAUUGGACACUUUCAGCAAUUUUAGGGGACAGAGAGGCAGUCAACCAGGAGAUGACCAUGUUAUUGCAUCUGUCCCAUAGUCUCUGUUCAGCCAGAUUAGUGGUUGGUCUAGGACAAGUUCCAUCAACAAAAGCAAUUUUGUUCUUAGCAGAUAAGUCGACUAUCACCUUUCUCUUCCAACCCCCAUAGCUAUUACCCGAGAAAGGGAUAGGAACAAGAGAAACUUCGGGGACAUCAGAAGAGUAAACAAAUAGAGGAUUUGUAGGGUCAAUAGGUGAGGGAUUAACAGGGUUCACAUCUAUCAUCGGAUACAGGAUAAUAGGGAUGAAAAAAGAGAGAUACAAUAACUAUGAGGUACACAAUACAGCAACAAAGGUACAUGCAAGCCCUAAUCUAGUGGGAUAAUAGGGUUACCAGGCUUUGUCAUCGGAUACAGGAUAAUAGGGAUGAGAAAAGAGAGUGAUACAAUAACUAUGAGCUAGACAAUACAGCAACAAAGGUACAUGCAAGCCCUAAUCAAGUGGGAUAAUAGGGUUACCAGGCUUCUACGCAACCGGAGAAGAUACGGCCUUCAAAAAAUUGAAACGUGUGAAGAAAACCCUAGCUUCGUUGUCAGGAAACCCUAGCAUGCAAAAAACCCAAUGGAAUCAGGCACAAGAGGUGUCGGAAAAUCACCCUAACACCUCGCUGGAAGAAUCGGCAACAAAACAACUCUGAUUUCACCAAAAUAUCAAAGAAAAUCCAGAAUCUUCACCGAAGACUUUGAAAAAAAAACCAGAAAUCACCACCGAUAACGCCAUGAAAUCAAACCAAAAGAACGGGGAAGAUAGAGAGUAUGUCCGGGAGAAAGAACCAGGCUCUGAUACCAUGUAAACAUGGUGAAUCGGAGUUGAAUCAAGUAUGGAAAGAGGUAAAAUAGAGAGAGAAAAUAGAGAGAGAAAUGAGAGAAACACUUCUCUGUGUAUUGAAAAAUGAACCGACUGAAAAAUAUCUAGAAUACUCUAACCCUAUAUCAAACGUGGGUCAGGGUUACAUUUCGGAUUGGGCCAAUUCUAACCCGAAUAGGAACAGGCCCAAACUAAAUACACAAUCUAC
rnacentral:lncRNA from 1 species